UACAGAGGGUGCGAGCGUUGUCCGGAAUCACUGGGCGUAAAGGGCGCGUAGGUGGCGACCCAAGUCUGUGGUGAAAGCUCGACGCUCAACGUCGAGUCGGCCAUAGAUACUGGGUUGCUGGAGCACUGUAGAGGCAGAUGGAAUUCCGGGUGUAGCGGUGGAAUGCGUAGAGAUCCGGAAGAACACCGGUGGCGAAGGCGGUCUGCUGGGCGUGAUCUGACGCUGAGGCGCGAAAGCGUGGGGAGCGAACAGG
rnacentral:rRNA from 1 species